rnacentral:rRNA from 1 species
GACGAACGCUGGCGGCGUGCUUAACACAUGCAAGUCGAACGAGACGAUUGAAAGCUUGCUUUCGAAAGUCGAGUGGCAAACGGGUGGGUAACGCGUAGACAACCUGCCUUUGAGAUGGGGACAACAGUUCGAAAGGACUGCUAAUACCGAAUGUUGUAUAUUUUCCACAUGGAAGAUAUAUUAAAGAUGGCCUCUAUUUAUAAGCUAUCGCUCAAGGAUGGGUCUGCGUCUGAUUAGCUAGUUGGUGGGGUAACGGCCUACCAAGGCGAGGAUCAGUAGCCGGUCUGAGAGGAUGAACGGCCACAUUGGGACUGAGACACGGCCCAGACUCCUACGGGAGGCAGCAGUGGGGAAUCUUCCACAAUGGACGAAAGUCUGAUGGAGCAACGCCGCGUGAGUGAAGAAGGGUUUCGGCUCGUAAAGCUCUGUUGUCGGGGACGAAUGUGCAUUACUUGAAUAAAGUAGUGUAAUGACGGUACCUGACGAGGAAGCCACGGCUAACUACGUGCCAGCCGCCGCAGUAA